UAGGAGUGCAGGUAUUUAUGGCCACGUUGCUACGCACGCCACGACUGAAAUGGACAUGCCCAUGGAUUGUCUCUGGUGAGCUCCUUCGACACUACCUGUCCCUCCCUCCGAGAGGAUCUAACCCAGUCUCAGAACCUCAGUCCAUGUUAUCGUCCUGCUGCAAGUCUGCCUGUGACAUUUCAGAAGACCAUUCAUCCUCGAGGCCUGAAUGAAGUCUUAGUCUUGGUCUGGAGCUACACUGAACGAUGUCACUACCUCCUAGGAGCUGCCAGAAAUUUACCUCUGCUGUGUUGGGCCAACUCGGCUUAUUUCAAGGAUGCCAACUAUUAUAACCAUGCAAAGCCUUCCUUCUCUUCUCAGAUAAAUAAUCUGUGAUGGAGUUGAGACCCCUUCUAGCCGGAUAGCAGUCCUUCACCGUCAUGAAACUUACUUCCGCUACUAGUGACCCAGGCGGACCCUCAGAUGCUACCCUGGCAAGAAAUGUGAACUCGGUUGGGAGACCAUUUGUUACAGAGCUGGGCAGCAGCGAGCAUGGCUGAGGUGCUGUGGACUGAUCAGCAGAACAGAGCCAGAGGUGGGGCACCUGCUCCGAGCCCCCUGUCAGACCGUCCCGUGUGUUACCCCCAGCACCUGCUGCCCUCACUGCGCGCCACCUUCCCAGCUGGUGGCCAGGUCUCCAUGUGCUCAAAGGCCAGAACUUGAUGCUGCUUUAUCCAAGACUCUUUCUGGGCUUCCCGUCACUCAGUCGGAAUUCUUUUGUUUAUGUUUGUAAACUAAGUGAACGUGACAUGGAAGUCACCGGGGAGAAUAAAUCUGGAACAUUGA